rnacentral:rRNA from 1 species
GACCUGGCUGGACGGUCUGCCUAACGGUUUGUACUGUCCGGCUGGGCCUUACCUCUUGGUGAGCCGGCGUGCCCUUCACUGUGGUGCGUUGGGGAACCAGGACUUUUACCUUGAGAAAAUUAGAGUGUUCAAAGCAGGCCUAUGCCCGAAUACAUUAGCAUGGAAUAAUAAAAUAGGACG